rnacentral:misc_RNA from 1 species
GAUGAAGAACGUAGCGAAAUGCGAUACGUAAUGUGAAUUGCAGAAUUCAGUGAAUCAUCGAGUCUUUGAACGCACAUUGCGCCCCCUGGUAUUCCGGGGGGCAUGCCUGUCCGAGCGUCAUUGCUGCCCUCAAGCACGGCUUGUGUGUUGGGCCUCCGUCCUCCUCCCGGGGGACGGGCCCGAAAGGCAGCGGCGGCACCGCGUCCGGUCCUCGAGCGUAUGGGGCUUCGUCACCCGCUCUUGUAGGCCCGGCCGGCGCUUGCCGACACAUCAAUCUUUUUUCCAGGUUGACCUCGGAUCAGGUAGGAAGACCCGCUGAACUUAAGCAUAUCAAUAAGCGGAGGA